rnacentral:lncRNA from 1 species
AUAAAACCUAUCCGAUGUUUUAGGUUCGAAAACUUUUUGUUUUACAUUUUCAAAUAAAUUCAUUUAUAAAAUACAUAUAUUUUUCAAAACAUCUGAAAUAUUUUAUAUAUUUCUAUUUUUUAUUUUCAACCAUAUCUCUCGUAUAUUUCUUCGUUAUUCAAAAAUGCUUUCGUUGUUUGUUCCGUUAAGUCAUCUCGAAUUAAAUCCAGUAAAAUUUCUACCAAAAUUUAAAAAAGUCAAAAUACCUCUUUUGCCUUUAACUUAAGUACACAUAAAAUAAAGUUUAUAACUGUAGAAAGAUAUAUUUGAAGAGGCAAAAAAUCAAAAUACGGUUUUUUAUCUCAAACUUAAGAACAAAUAAAAAAAGUUGGUGACAGUAAAAGAAUAUAUUUGAAAAGAUAAAAUAAUAAAUAAACAGAUAUAACGAUUGUUAUAUUUGAAAAAACUCGAAACGUUAAAAAGGAUUUUUUUUUAUUUUUAUUUUUUUUUACAUUAGCCUUUUAAAUAGGGUAAAUAAGAACAUCAGAAAAUUUUCAUGAAUAUAU